rnacentral:rRNA from 1 species
UACGUAGGGUGCGAGGCGUUGUCCGGAUUAUUGGCGUAAAGAGCUCGUAGGUGGUUCGGUUAGUCGGAUGUGAAAUCGUCCAGGCUCAACCUGGAGGGGUCAUUCGAUACUGCCGUGACUAGAGUCCGGAAGAGGAGUGUGGAAUUCCGUGGUGUAGCGGUGAAAUGCGCAGAUAUCAGGAAGAACACCUAUGGCGAAGGCAGCACUCUGGGACGGUACUGACGCUGAGACGCGAAAGCGUGGGGAGCAAACAGG